rnacentral:rRNA from 1 species
UACGAGGGGGGCGAGCGUUGUUCGGAAUUAUUGGGCGUAAAGGGUGCGUAGGCGGUUCCGCAAGUCCUGUGUGAAAUCUUCGGGCUCAACUCGAAGUCUGCACGGGAAACUGCGGGGCUUGAGUGUGGGAGAGGUGAGUGGAAUUCCCGGUGUAGCAGUGAAAUGCGUAGAGAUCGGGAGGAACAUCCAUGGCGAAGGCAGCUACCUGGACCAACACUGACACUGAGGCACGAAAGCGUGGGGAGCAAACAGG